rnacentral:rRNA from 1 species
UACGGAGGAUCCAAGCGUUAUCCGGAAUCAUUGGGUUUAAAGGGUCCGUAGGCGGUUUGGUAAGUCAGUGGUGAAAGCCCAUCGCUCACGAUGGAACGGCCAUUGAUACUGCCAGACUUGAAUUAUUAGGAAGUAACUAGAAUAUGUAGUGUAGCGGUGAAAUGCUUAGAGAUUACAUGGAAUACCAAUUGCGAAGGCAGGUUACUACUAAUGGAUUGACGCUGAUGGACGAAAGCGUGGGUAGCGAACAGG